AUGAGCUUCCAUGGCAAAAUAAAUGCAUUAAUGAAUGAAUGGAUGGAUGGAUGGAUGGAUAUAUAAAUAAGGGAAGGAAGGAAGGAAGGAAGGAAGGAAGGAAGGAAGGAAGGAAGGAAGGAAGGAAGGAAGGAAGGAAGGAAGGAAGGAAGAAAGGAAGGACUGAAGGAAGGAAGGAAGGAAGAAGGAAGGAAGGAAGGAAGGAAGGAAGGAAGGAAGGAAGGAAGGAAGGAAGGAAGGAAGGAAGGAAGGAAGGAAGGAAGGAAGGAAGGAAGGAAGGAAGAAAGGAAGAAAAGAAAAGAAAAAGAAGAGAGAGAGAAGAUAAGAAGUGGGAGAACCUAGUAUAGAUGGCCAUCCAUCUAAAAGAGUCCAACCAAAAGGAAGAGAAGAGAUAUAAGAUGAGAGUUAGUAAGGAUAUAAAAGACAAUUGAAGACUUUUUGAUGAUGGGGGGAGCUAUGAAUAUGUUCAUAGGGAGUAGGAAAUCAGCCACUAGAAAGGGAAAGGUGGAAGAUAAAUAAUAGAAUGGAGAUAAUGGCAUUUUGCUGAAGGAUAUGAGAUUAAUAACCAGAGUGAGCAAGAAAGGCUGUAAAAAAUGUCACCUUAGUUGAAAUUUGAAGGAUACUAUGAAUUCCUAGAAUCAACAAUGAUAGAGGAGUAUAUUGUAACAGUUAAAAUUUAGGGGAAACUGAGGCAGGUAGAAAUUAGUUUCUCUCCACAAGUAGUAUUAUAUUUUUAUGAGGUUUAUUAAAGGUUAAGGAUUAAAGAAAAUACAGAAUAAGAAAGCACAUGCCUAGGCCAGAGAGGCCUAGACAGGAUAACCUCACAUCAUGAAAGAGACAGGUCUGCUCCAAAACAGAAGUCCAAAAGAGAGAGCCUAUUCACAACCAGGUUUAAAUACCCCAUCUCACUCUUGGCCCAGGUGAGAUUACAAAGCAUUCUGGGGAAGUGGAGCAAGGGCUUCUGGGGAUUGGAGUCCUGGAUUCAAGUCUAUAUUUUACAGUAUUCCAGAUACAAUGCAACUCCACACAAUGCAAUGUAAGUCCUAGUGACUAAAAUGUAUGGAGUGACACAAAUUUGCCCUUCCCCAAAAGCAUUUAGUAAUUUUCUAUUGCUACCCUUAGGAAAAGAAGAAAACAUGUCAAUGGUAAUUGGAAUAAUAAAUUUGAGGGAAAGCAUAUAGCCA
rnacentral:lncRNA from 1 species